UGCCACAACAGCUCAGGGAAA
ensembl:piRNA 21ur-1449 ncRNA